rnacentral:piRNA from 1 species
UUCAUACGCCAAUGGUUUGUA